AACCGCCUAAGCACUUCGGUGCCGGUAAGGGUGAAAAGGUGCGGUAAGAGCGCACCGCACGACUGGCAACAGUUCGUGGCUAGGUAAACCCCACUCGGAGCAAGACCAAAUAGGGUUCCUUACGGCGUGGCCCGCGUCGGAACCGGGUAGGUUGCUAAAGGCGUCCAGUGAUGGCCGUCGUAGAGGAAUGACUGUCCUCGACAGAACCCGGCUUACAGAUCGACUCUCCAC
rnacentral:RNase_P_RNA from 1 species